GUGGGGAAUAUUGGGCAAUGGGCGAAAGCCUGACCCAGCAACGCCGCGUGAGGGAAGAAGGCCUUCGGGUUGUAAACCUCUGUCCUUGGUGACGAAAAAAAUGACGGUAGCCAAGGAGGAAGCCCCGGCUAACUACGUGCCAGCAGCCGCGGUAAUACGUAGGGGGCGAGCGUUGUCCGGAAUUACUGGGCGUAAAGGGUGCGUAGGUGGCCUUUUAAGUUGGAUGUGAAAUCCCCGGGCUUAACUUGGGUGGUGCAUCUAAUACUGGAGGGCUAGAGUGCAGGAGAGGGAAGCGGAAUUCCUAGUGUAGCGGUGAAAUGCGUAGAUAUUAGGAGGAACACCAGUGGCGAAGGCGGCUUUCUGGACUGUAACUGACACUGAGGCACGAAAGCGUGGGGAGCAAACAGGAUUAGAAACCCUAGUAGUCC
rnacentral:rRNA from 1 species